CAGCAGCCACGGUAAUACGAAGGGUGCAAGCGUUAAUCGGAAUUACUGGGCGUAAAGCGUGCGCAGGCGGUUUGUUAAGACAGAUGUGAAUCCCCGGGCUCAACCUGGGAACUGCAUUUGUGACUGGCAAGCUAGAGUGUGGCAGAGGGGGGUGGAAUUCCGCGUGUAGCAGUGAAAUGCGUAGAUAUGCGGAGGAACACCGAUGGCGAAGGCAGCCCCCUGGGCCAACACUGACGCUCAUGCACGAAAGCGUGGGGAGCAAACAGGAUUAGAUACCCGUGUAGUCCCUGUCUCUUAUACA
rnacentral:rRNA from 1 species